AUUGAACGCUGGCGGCAUGCCUUACACAUGCAAGUCGAACGGCAGCACGGGUGCUUGCACCUGGUGGCGAGUGGCGAACGGGUGAGUAAUACAUCGGAACAUGUCCUUUAGUGGGGGAUAGCCCGGCGAAAGCCGGAUUAAUACCGCAUACGAUCUACGGAUUAAAGCGGGGGACCUUCGGGCCUCGCGCUAUAGGGUUGGCCGAUGGCUGAUUAGCUAGUUGGGGGGGUAAAGGCCUACCAAGGCGACGAUCAGUAGCUGGUCUGAGAGGGCGACCAGCAACAGGGGGAGUGACACCCGGCACAGACUCCGAGGGGCGGCAGAGGGGGGAAAUUUAGGCAAAAGGGGGGAAGCUUGCACAAGGAACGGAGGGUGGGUGAAGCAGGCCUUCGGGUGGGAAGACGCUUUUCUGCGGAAAAAAAUCUUUGGCCUUAAACCGGGCGGGGGAGGCGGGAACGGGAAAAAAAACACCGGCUAAAUACGGG
rnacentral:rRNA from 1 species